rnacentral:rRNA from 1 species
UACGGGGGGGGCAAGCGUUGUUCGGAAUUACUGGGCGUAAAGGGCUCGUAGGCGGCCAACUAAGUCAGACGUGAAAUCCCCAGGCUUAACCUGGGAACUGCGUCUGAUACUGGAUGGCUUGAGUUCGGGAGAGGGAUGCAGAAUUCCAGGUGUAGCGGUGAAAUGCGUAGAUAUCUGGAGGAAUACCGGUGGCGAAGGCGGCAUCCUGGACCGAGAUUGACGCUGAUGAGCGAAAGCUAGGGGAGCAAACGGG